GGCCUAACACAUGCAAGUCGAGCGGAAACGAGUUAUCUGAACCUUCGGGGAACGAUAACGGCGUCGAGCGGCGGACGGGUGAGUAAUGCCUAGGAAAUUGCCCUGAUGUGGGGGAUAACCAUUGGAAACGAUGGCUAAUACCGCAUAAUACCUACGGGUCAAAGAGGGGGACCUUCGGGCCUCUCGCGUCAGGAUAUGCCUAGGUGGGAUUAGCUAGUUGGUGAGGUAAUGGCUCACCAAGGCGACGAUCCCUAGCUGGUCUGAGAGGAUGAUCAGCCACACUGGAACUGAGACACGGUCCAGACUCCUACGGGAGGCAGCAGUGGGGAAUAUUGCACAAUGGGCGCAAGCCUGAUGCAGCCAUGCCGCGUGUGUGAAGAAGGCCUUCGGGUUGUAAAGCACUUUCAGUCGUGAGGAAGGUAGUGUAGUUAAUAGCUGCAUUAUUUGACGUUAGCGACAGAAGAAGCACCGGCUAACUCCGUGCCAGCAGCCGCGGUAAUACGGAGGGUGCGAGCGUUAAUCGGAAUUACUGGGCGUAAAGCGCAUGCAGGUGGUUUGUUAAGUCAGAUGUGAAAGCCCGGGGCUCAACCUCGGAAUAGCAUUUGAAACUGGCAGACUAGAGUACUGUAGAGGGGGGUAGAAUUUCAGGUGUAGCGGUGAAAUGCGUAGAGAUCUGAAGGAAUACCGGUGGCGAAGGCGGCCCCCUGGACAGAUACUGACACUCAGAUGCGAAAGCGUGGGGAGCAAACAGGAUUAGAUACCCUGGUAGUCCACGCCGUAAACGAUGUCUACUUGGAGGUUGUGGCCUUGAGCCGUGGCUUUCGGAGCUAACGCGUUAAGUAGACCGCCUGGGGAGUACGGUCGCAAGAUUAAAACUCAAAUGAAUUGACGGGGGCCCGCACAAGCGGUGGAGCAUGUGGUUUAAUUCGAUGCAACGCGAAGAACCU
rnacentral:rRNA from 1 species